AAAAGUAAAAAAAAUAAAAAUAAAAAGUAAAUCUUUACUACUGAAACCAGAUUUUUUCCCCCUUCUCUUCUCGCUGCUCGGCUGCUCCCCUUUUCUUCUGCAGAAGCCGUUUAUGGCGGCGACUUUAUCAUCCUCAACAGAUUUCCUCCAGACCUUCAUCUCCACAUCAAACCUCGUACCGCCAGUGUUUUAUCUGCUAUAUCUUCUUUUGGACGGCUUUUGCUGAUGGGGCUGGCGGUGGUGGUGGUUUGUUCAAGGAUUUUGGACGAUUUUUGCUGCUGGGGCUGGCGGUGGUGGUGGUUUUCGUUGCGGCUUUCUGGACAGCAUCACGAUCAGAUUCUUAGUGACAAAGAGACCAUCAAACUUCAGUCCAAGCAGUACCACUAACGAGUAGGAUCUAAAAUACAUUUUAAGGGAUGAUUACUAGAUGUGCCUGGACGUAAAAUUCAAGGCUAGAGCUGAUUGCCUCAAGUUUGACGAACUUCAUACUGUAACUGUUACAAACGCAUGACAUAGAGGAUGUCAGGUUUGUAUAUUUUUUCAGUGGACUCUAUCCCAAGUUUAUUUCAAAAAACUGGGACGUAUUCCUUUUGAGUCUCUCUUGUAAGUAUUGUAUGUCUUGUCUAGUUAUCCUGCAUAAAAUACUCAUAUUUGUUAAGUUUAAUACUACUUUGACUAUUGUGCAGCAGGAUUCAAGACACGAACACUAGGUAAUUACCAGAUUGUUUUUUGGCGGCCUGGAAAUCUCGCUGCAUGUGGUGACCCUAUAUCCCGCCUUUGGAUUGGAAGUUGAUGAAGGAAGCAUUCAAGCUUCUUGGACCAGUGCUUGCUUCGAUAUAUGAUGCCAAAUUAUAAGGCUUUCUACAUCUUUCUCUCACUGUUAGGUAAGGCUGCACAUGAUGAAGGAGUUUCCUGACUCUUUUUUUCAGUAUACUCUAUAUAUCAUACCUAUGAGGUUUGUAGUCAUUUAUAAAUACUAAGUUUGACUUGAUUUUUUUAUUACUUAUAGGUAAUUUCAAAAACAAACAUUAUCAAUUUUUUAUACGAAGUAUAUAUAUACA